rnacentral:tRNA from 1 species
GGGCCGGUGGUGUAGCCUGGUUAGCACGUCGCCCUCACACGGCGGAGAUCGCCGGUUCGAAUCCGGCCCGGCCCA